rnacentral:snoRNA from 1 species
AUUCCGUGAUGAGGGCACUUUCGUAAUAAUUCUUUGUACCUUUCCCAUGCCUCAUACAAUGACUCAUCAUCCAUUUCUUGGAAAGCAGUGAUCUCGUUCCUCAACUU